UACGUAGGGUGCGAGCGUUAAUCGGAAUUACUGGGCGUAAAGCGUGCGCAGGCGGUUUGUUAAGACAGAUGUGAAAUCCCCGGGCUUAACCUGGGAACUGCAUUUGUGACUGGCAAGCUAGAGUAUGGCAGAGGGGGGGUAGAAUUCCACGUGUAGCAGUGAAAUGCGUAGAGAUGUGGAGGAACACCGAUGGCGAAGGCAGCCCCCUGGGCCAAGACUGACGCUCAUGCACGAAAGCGUGGGGAGCAAACAGG
rnacentral:rRNA from 1 species